UUGAACGCUGGCGGCAGGCCUAACACAUGCAAGUCGAGCGGUUGAGAGUAGCUUGCUACUUGAUGCAGCGGCGGACGGGUGAGUAACGCGUGGGAAUCUGCCCAGUAGUGGGGGACAACAGCCGGAAACGGCUGCUAAUACCGCAUACGCCCUACGGGGGAAAGGGGGGGAUCUUCGGACCUCUCGCUAUUGGAUGAGCCCGCGUCGGAUUAGCUAGUUGGUAGGGUAAAGGCCUACCAAGGCUACGAUCCGCAACUGGUCUGAGAGGAUGAUCAGUCACCCUGGAACUGGGACAAGGGCCAGACUCCUACGGGAGGCAGCAGCGGGGAAUAUUGGACAAUGGGGGAAACCCUGAUUCAGCCAUGCCGCGUGUGUGAAGAAGGCCUUAGGGUUGUAAAGCACUUUCAGUGGGGAGAAAGGUUUGUCACCUAAUACGUGAUGAAAUUGAUGUUACCCACAGAAGAAGCACCGGCUAACUCCGUGCCAGCCGCCGCAGUAACAC
rnacentral:rRNA from 1 species